GAUGAACGCUGGCGGCGUGCCUAAUACAUGCAAGUCGAGCGCAGCGGGGACGGGUGAGUAACACGUGGAAACCCUCCUUUAAGCAUGGAAUAACUUCGGGAAACCGUAGCUAAACGUGCUACUUAUUGAUGGAUCCGCGCUGCAUUAGCUAGUUGGUAAGGUAACGGCUUACUAAGGGAACGAUGCAUAGCCGACCUGAGAGGGUGAUCGGCCACACUGGAACUGAGACACGGUCCAGACUCCUACGGGAGGCAGCAGUAGGGAAUCUUCCGCAAUGGUCGAAAGCCUGACGGAGCAACGCCGCGUGAGUGAUGAAGGUCUUCGGAUCGUAAAACUCUGUUAGUAGGGAAGCGGUACCUAAUCAGAAAGCCACGGCUAACUACGUGCCAGCAGCCGCGGUAAUAC
rnacentral:rRNA from 1 species